AAAAAAAAAAGGAGGUUUAAAAGGAAAAUUGGGGCGGAACUUUAUCAUCCUGGAAGUGGUUGGCUCCUAAGUCCUAACUAAUCCCAUAUGCAUCCAAAAUAGUUUUGUUUUAAAAUACUAAAAACAACACAUGGAGUAAAUCGUUUGAGUUCUAUUGACAUUAUUUGACUACUAUUUAUGAUUAUUCUACUGUAUUUUGUAUUUUAUGUUUAUGCAUCACACACUCAUUUCUAUCUCUCUCUCUCUCCUUUUGGUCUCCAUCGGUCGUCCUCUCCCUUGCUGCUCUGUUUUUCUAAACUAGUUAAACUCGUGUUGUGGAAUUUUUUUUGCUAUUUUUGAGUGCCGUGAAAAUUUUUCUGUGAAAAAUUUGGAGGUCUUUUGAGUGUUGGGUCUUCAGUACUUGAUAAUCCAAUCCUAGUGAUUAGGUUGAUGCUAUAUGUUGUGUAAGUAAAUUAAUAAAAUUUUGUGCUCUUCUCCAUCAGUGGUUAUGGUAGCGAUUUAGUUUGCUCCAUCAUUUUGUUGCCAAUUACUUUUUUUGUUCUUCCAGAUUUUUCACUUAUGCAUCAAUUAAACAAACUAAGAAUCCUUUAGUACUGUAGCCUCCGCAAAUUUACAAUGGGUUUUGUUAGGCUACACUACUUGUGGUGUGCACCUUUAAAAUACUCAAUAUUUUUAGACAUUUAGAUACCUUUAUCCUAUAGUAUAGUAACUUUUUGUUUAGAGAUAUUUUAAAUAAUUAAUCCAAGAUAAAUUAAAAAUUUCUAAUAGAAACAAAAACAUUUAUUGGUUGUAACAUGAAAGUUUUUUCUUAUAUUUUUAACGGUGAAAUGAUUAUAGGUAGUUAAGUUUAUGUGACUUUUGGUUGCUGCUUACCCAACUAAAAAUAAAUUGUAUAGUUGCCAUUUCAUAUCGAGAUAUAGUCUGGUUUUUUUGGUCAUGAACGUAAUUGCAUCCAUCAUGAACUUGGCAAGUGCAACAAUUUUCAGUGACUUGAUCAAGUCACUUCAAUUACUAACCAGUUGCCAAGUCACAUGCCGCCGUAGUUGUAAUUGUUUGGUUUCUGUUUAAAAUGAUUGUAAAUUUAGGUGCCAUUAAAACGUCAUCGGUCUUGACAAAUAAAUGGUUAGCUUUAAAACUUUUAAAUAUUUAUUUCUUAAAUAACUGAAAUAUUUUUGCUCUUGGAGGUUGCCAAUGCAUUGAGAGAAAUUUUGAUAGUAAGAAACUCAAAUUUUUUUCUUAUUUAUGUAAAUGUUGUUAGCAUCAGAGGGGUUUGAUACUUUUAUUAAAUAUCCAAGCACUUUAAAGUAUUCCUUGAAUCUAUUUACAUAUUUAGUAUUGGGUACAGUUUCUAUAAGGUUGCAACCCUAAACAAUCCAAUUAAGGCACACCUUAAAAUUUU
rnacentral:lncRNA from 1 species